CUGGUCUUGGCAUAGAGGUGGGACAACCACCCCUGGGGUUUGCUGUUGGCAUUGAGGUGGGACAACCACCCCUGGGGUUUGCUGUUGGCAUUGAGGUGGGACAACC